rnacentral:rRNA from 1 species
GACGAACCGUGCGAACGUUUAUUCGGAAUCAUUGGGCUUAAAGAGCGCGUAGGCGGCGACGUAAGUUGGAGGUGAAAUCCCAUCGGCUCAACCGUGGAAUCGCUCCCAGUACUGCGUUGCUCGAGGGAGAUAGGGGCCUGUGGGAACUGCCGGUGGAGCGGUGAAAUGUGUUGAUGUCGGCGGGAACGCCAGUGGCGAAAGCGACAGGCUGGACCUUUCUGACGCUGAGGCGCGAAAGCUAGGGGAGCAAACGGGG